UGCAGGCCCAUUUGGCUAUUCCCAUGAGACCCCGCGUGCGGAUCCAGGAUCCAAGCAUGUCUCUUGUAACCAUAAUUGUGGUUUGCAAGCCUGGAGAAAAAUGGCCAAAGGGCAUGAACUAGAGAGAGUGGCAUCAGUCAGGGACCUGGAAGCAGAGGUAACACUGAGCUGGUAACUGAAGGGGAGUUUAACAAAACAACCAUGCUUAAAGGUGUGAGCAGGGCCUAAGGGAAGGAGAGAUAGUACAGCGCUCUAGGGCUAAGAAGAGUUGCGAGUCACUAUGACCAAGGCCAGGAAGGGGACUGGACCGGAAGACAGUGAUUAAGCAAAAAGCUGUGUAAGAGAGCACUUCUGUGAGGAGCUGCGGAAAACAGCCAACCCACAGUGAUCCAGAAGGGAAGGAGCAGAGAAGAAAUCCCCGGACCCUUAUCCUCCCAACCUCUUUCAUUUCUCCAGAAACAAGCGAGCCAUGGAGGCAGUUCUGAUGGGUCAGACCCCCCAGAGAACAGAGAAGAGUAGGGGUGGGGGGGUGUGAGGGAUCCAGGACAACAGAAAACAUCCAGAGCAGGUGACAAGAAGAGGCAAAAGGUGCCCAACAGAUGAUUUCUGGACUGCUACUAAGGCCAGGACGUAGUCAAGGAAAUUUGGAGAACAUUUAGAGGCAGAGCCCAGACACGCAAAAGGCUAAAGAACCAGCCAAAAGUGAGUGGUGACAAGUGACCUGGUCAAAUUUGGAAUGCCUGAAGCCAGCAGGGGUGGCUCUGGGUUAGCUGCAAAAUUAAUUCACGUCUGCAGAGGCAGGUUUUUGGAAGGAGGCUAGAAUGGAGGAAGACAUUUCCAACCCGGACUUGGGCUGUUGGCUCAGAGUUUCUGGAUCAUAUUUUGUAAUUGUCUGGCCAAAACAGAAUUUUCUUUUUUUUUUUUUUUUUAGCAUUUUUUAAAAGAUUUUAUUUAUUUAUUUGACAGAGACAGAGACAGCCAGCGAGAGAGGGAACACAAGCAGGGGGAGCAGGAGAGGAAGAAGCAGGCUCAUAGCGGAGGAGCCUGAUGUGGGGCUCGAUCCCAUAACGCCGGGAUCGCGCCCUGAGCCGAAGGCAGACGCUCAACCGCUGUGCCACCCAGGCGCCCCCAAACGGAAUUUUCUACAUCUCUUGAAGGGUUUUAGGAUGGAGCUGAAUACCUACAAUAUGGACUCAGAAAGCAGGCUGCCUGGCUUCCGUCCCAGCGCUGCGUCUUUUGAGCUACGUGACCUUGGGCAAGGUACUUGACUUAGUUUCUUCUAUAACGUGAAAUAUCAGUAGUGACUACCCUAUGGAGUUUUCGUGAGGAUCAAGAGGUAAAUAUGUAAAGCUUUUGGAAUAAUUCCUAGCAUAAAUUUAGCCCCCGGUAUCUUUUUUUAAAUUAUAACCUAUUAGAAAUAGCUCCCAGAGGGCAGGUGUCUCCUCUGUUUUGUCACUUGCCAAUUCUUAGCACCCAGUACAGUUCUUAGCACAUAGUGGGAAUUCAAUAAAUAUUCAUUUAAUAGAGGUUAAAUGACGAAA
rnacentral:lncRNA from 1 species